rnacentral:rRNA from 1 species
GUUGUUGCAGUUAAAAAGCUCGUAGUUGAAUUUCGGGGUUAGUAUGUUGGUCAUGCCUCUGGUAUGUACUGAUCUCACUGAUUCCUCCUUCCUUAUGAACCGUAAUGCCAUUAAUUUGGUGUUGCGGGGAAUUUGGACUGUUACUUUGAAAAAAUUAGAGUGGUUAAAGCAGGCUAACGCUUGAAUACAUUAGCAUGGAAUAAUGAAAUAGGACGUUCGAU